AACGAACGCUGGCGGCAUGCCUAACACAUGCAAGUCGAACGAGACCUUCGGGUCUAGUGGCGCACGGGUGCGUAACGCGUGGGAACCUGCCCUUAGGUUCGGAAUAACUCCCCGAAAGGGGUGCUAAUACCGGAUAAUGUCUUCGGACCAAAGAUUUAUCGCCUUUGGAUGGGCCCGCGUUGGAUUAGCUAGUUGGUAGGGUAAAAGCCUACCAAGGCGACGAUCCAUAGCUGGUCUGAGAGGAUGAUCAGCCACACUGGGACUGAGACGCGGCCCAGACUCCUACGGGAGGCAGCAGUGGGGAAUAUUGGACAGUGGGCGAAAGCCUGAUCCAGCAAUGCCGCGUGAGUGAUGAAGGCCUUAGGGUUGUAAAGCUCUUUUACCCGGGAUGAUAAUGACAGUACCGGGAGAAUAAGCUCCGGCUAACUCCGUG
rnacentral:rRNA from 1 species